rnacentral:rRNA from 1 species
CCUACGGGGGGCAGCAGUGAGGAAUAUUGGUCAAUGGCCGGAACGCUGAACCAGCCAAGCCGCGUGAAGGACGAAGGUGCCAAGCAUUGUAAACUUCUUUUGUCAAGGGACAAAAUCAGGCUCGAGAGCCUGACCGAGGGUACUUGAAGAGAAAGCAUCGGCUAACUCCUUGCCAGCAGCCGCGGUAAUACGGAGGAUGCGAGCGUUAUCCGGAUUGAUUGGGUUAAAGGGGGGCGGAGGCGGACUGUAAAGUCAGAGGUAAAAGCCCGGGGCUAAACCCCGGCGAGCCGUGGAAACUGGCUGUCUUGAGAUGUCGAGAGGUAUGCGGAAUGCGCAGUGUAGCGGUGAAAUGCUUAGAUAUUGCGCAGAACUCCGAUUGCGAAGGCAGCAUACCGGCGGCGAUCUGACGCUGAGGCACGAAAGCGUGGGUAUCGAACAGGAUUAGAUACCCGUGUAGUC